AACGAACGCUGGCGGCAUGCCUAACACAUGCAAGUCGAACGAGACCUUCGGGUCUAGUGGCGCACGGGUGCGUAACGCGUGGGAACCUGCCCUUAGGUUCGGAAUAACUCCCCGAAAGGGGUGCUAAUACCGGAUAAUGUCUUCGGACCAAAGAUUUAUCGCCUUUGGAUGGGCCCGCGUUGGAUUAGCUAGUUGGUAGGGUAAAAGCCUACCAAGGCGACGAUCCAUAGCUGGUCUGAGAGGAUGAUCAGCCACACUGGGACUGAGACACGGCCCAGACUCCUACGGGAGGCAGCAGUGGGGAAUAUUGGACAAUGGGCGAAAGCCUGAUCGAGCUAUGCCGCGUGAGUGAUGAAGGCCUUAGGGUUGUAAAGCUCUUUUACCCGGGAUGAUAAUGACAGUACCGGGAGAAUAAGCUCCGGCUAACUCCGUG
rnacentral:rRNA from 1 species